CAAACUGAAGCGUCACAAUAGACCACAGAUCCACAUCACACAGAGCUACAAGGUGAAUGCCUCGGGAUUCUCCUCCCUGUAGCUCAUAACAGCAGCUCCACACAAUGAUCAGGCAGCAAAACAUCCACGUCUCGUUUUCCAUCUUUCUCCUGUGGACAUCAGGUUGUGUCGGUGGGAGCGAUGUUUCCCAAACCCCGAUGGUGUGGAAGUCUGUGGGUCAAGAUGCAACGAUGGAGUGCAGCCAUACCAAGGGUGCUGCCUAUUACCAGAUGUACUGGUACCGGCAGCUGCCUGGAGAAACAAUGAAACUCGUCGUGUUCACGUCGACGGCUUCAAAAGACCAUGACUUUGGGGAUUUCAGUAAAGAGAAAUUCUCAGCGUCCAAGACUGAACCUGAGAGAGGAUCGUUCACAGUGAAGAACCUGGAGGCAGAAGACAAAGGCUUGUACUUCUGCGCUGUGAGUCAACACAGUGAUGAAACCACAUGGGAGAGAUGA